UACUCCAUCCUUCUCUCAUCUGCGGCCAGCCUCUGUCUCUGCUCAGCUAAUAAGACAACAAAAUAUCCUCUCCUCACCAUUUGAUUACACAGUCUUGAAUUCCCACAGUUUUCACAGCCCUCUUUCCUCGCCGUUUGAAGAAGCUGGAGGCAUCUGCCUCUGGCAUGAAGAUCUUCCUCAGUGCACCUUUGGUGAAGAAGAACAUUGAUGAGGGGUAGAAACUCUUGACAAAGAUCUACAGCAACAUUGUGAAGGUCUUUGGUCACCUUGAGGACUGGCUGCCUUUUUAUCUGACACAGCGGCGCUGUCGGCUUCAUGGAACACUGUAACAGAGGAAACACGGCUGAGGUGAUGACGGACAAAACAACGAGACAGGUGAGAAGAAGAGGUCGCGUCCAG